UUCGUUUGCGUGAUCGCAUAAUUAAAAAUAACAUCACGACAUAAUAAAAGCCUCUCGCAUGAUCGCUUCCACGGUUCCACCUCUCUUUUCUCGACAUUGCGUGGAUGUUAAUCGUUUUCUUAUGGUGCUUCGUUCUUGGUGUACUCCUCAUCUUUUUCUUUCUCUAAUCCAAAAUACAUAUGUGUUUCAAUAGGGUUUUAAACACAGUAUGCGUUGAAGUUCUUUCCAUUGUAGGUUCUUAAGGGUUCUUCGUUAAACACUUGAAGUUUCUGAUAUUAGUCGUUUUUCCGGUUCCAAGAAACAUUGGCACUUCCAGAACAAACAAAUCUCUAGAAAUUGUCGACAUUGGAAGAAGUCGAUGACGUUUUUUUUUUCUUUAGCAGCGACCAAUUAUUUUGAAGAUGAAAUUGAAGGCAUUUGGCACUUAAGUUGAGAGAGACGUGAGCAUUCUUUUUGGAAUUCAGAGCACGAGUUUUUCUUUAUACAACGCCUUUCACGAUUUAUAUUUAGUGCGGGUAUGUUCUGCUGUUGCUAAUCUUUUUCAAUUUGAAUAUUUAAAUAUAGUGAUUCUAAACAUCUGUUCUUAUUUCUUGUCACUUAUACUGGAGAUAUUGAAUCUCGUUAUACACUGAGAAAUUGCAAAAUACUUUCAGAACUUAAUCCAGGUAUGUUCUACUAAACACCUAUAUACCAUUUUAAACCAAAUGCAAGAAAUACCAAAAUACUUUUGUUUUUUUUUUUUUUUUUAAAUUUUUAUUAUUGCAUUUACUUUAAAAAAUCUUAUCAUGUUUUUCUUAUUAAGGCAUUUUACACAUACUUCUCUUUAAAUUUCAAAUUUUCAGUUAUAUUUGUGUUACUACAUUGUAAGUAUCAAGUUUUUUCUUAUCAAGGCAUUUUGAUUUGAAAAAUCUAUCAUUUUUUCUUUUCUUAUCAAGGCAUUUCCUUUGAAAAAUCAACCUAUUUAUAGAAUCAUACUUUUUAUUCUUCCUUCUGUUAUAAUUUCAUCUUAUCUAGGCUUUUUACUUUGAGAAGACUAUCAAUUUUUUAUGAUUAAUGCAUUUUAUUUUGAAUAUUCUACCAAUUGUAGCAUUGUACUUUCAUUUUUCUUAAUAUAAGCACAUUUCCCAAUAAAAAUCAAACCAAUUUUCAGUUUUAUUUGUGUAAAAACAUUUCAACUUUCAAGCUUUUUUUCAUUUCAAGGCAUUUUAUUUAGAAAAAUAUAUCAAUUUUUUCUUAUCAAGGCAUUUUACUUUGAAAACUCUAUCAUUUAUUUCUUAUUAAGACAUUUUAAUUAGAAAAAUCUACCAAGUAUAACAUCAUACUUUUAUUUUUCUUGUUAUACAUAUAGUUCUCUUUCAUUUUCAAGUUUUCAGUUUUAUUUGUGUUGCCACAUCGUAAAUUUCAAGUUUUUUUUUUAUUUUUUUAUUUUUUUAUUUUUUUAAUUUGAAAAAGCUAUCAUUUUUUCUUUUCUUAUUAAAGCCAUUUUACUUUGAAAAAUUAGCCCAUUUAUGGCAUCACACUUUUUAGUUUUCUUUCUGCCACAAGAUUAUAACUUUUCAAAUUGUCUCUUAUCAAGUCAAUUUACUUUUGAGAAUCUAUCAUAUUUUUCAUUGUCAAGGCAUUUUAUUUUGUAAAAUCUACCAUUUAUACCAUUACACUUUUUUAGUUUUCUUUCUGUUAUAACAUUAUAACUUUCAAAUUUUAUCUUAGCAAAGCCUUUUACUUUAAAAAUAUAUCAUUGUUUUCUUUAAUAAGGCAUUUUGUUUGGAAAUAUCAACCAAUUAUAGCAUUGUACUUUCAUAUUUUUUAUUAUAAGCAUAUUUCCCUUUAAAAAAUCAACAAAACACAACAUUGUAACUUUUAAGUUUUUCCUGAUCAAUGCAUUUUACUUUCAAAAGUCAAAUCAAUUUUUAGCAUCACACUUUAUAGUUUUUUUUAAUAAUAUUAUUAUUUUUUUUAUUUUUAUUUUUUCAUUUAAAACAUUGUAACUUUGAAAUUUUAUAUCUUAUCAAUGCAUUUUGCUUUUAAAAAUCUGUCAUUUCUUUAUUUUGCAGUGUAUUUCAUUUUGAAAAAAGUACCAACUAUAGUAUUGUACUAUCAUUUUUCUUAUUUUAUGCACGUUUCCUUUUAAAAAAUCAACUUAAUUACAUUAUUGAACUUUUCAGUUUUAUUUGUGUUGCAACAUUGAGUUUUUAAGUUUUUUCUUGUCAAGGCAUUUUACUUUGAAAAAUAUAUAAACUUUUUCUUAUCUAUGCAAUUUACUAUUAAAAACCUUUCAAUUUUUCUAAUCAAUGCAAUUUACUUUUGAAAAUUUAUCAGUUUUUUUCUUAUCAAGGCAUUUUAAAUAGAAAAAUCAACCAGUUAUAGCAUUGUACUUUCAUUUUUCUUAUUAUAAGUACAUUUCUCACUAAAAAAUCAACCCAAAUAUAGCAUUGCUUUUUUCAAUUUAUCUGUGUUGUAAAUUUUAAGUUUUUUCUUAUCAAGGCAUUUUAAUUAGAAAAACCUACCUAUUAUAGACUUGUACUUUAAUUUCUUAUAUUAUAAGUAAGUUUCCUGUUAAAAAAUAAUCCAAAUGUAGCUUUGCACUUUUUAGUUUUAUUAGUGUGACAAUUUUGUAACUUUCAAGUUAUUUUAUUUUUUAUUUUUAAAUUUAUUUAUUUAUUUUCUAUCUUUAUUUUUCAUUAUAAAGACAUUUUAUUUUGAAAAGUCUACCAUUUAUAGCAUCACAAUGUUUGGUUUUCUUUAUGUUUUAACAUUAUAACUUUCAAAUUUAACUUAUCAAAGCAUUUCACAUUAAAAAAUCUAAUCACAUUUUUUCUAUGGUAAGGCAUUUUGUUUUGAAAAUUUCACCAAUGAUAGCAUUAUACUUUCAUUUUUUUAUUUUAAGCACAUUUUCUUUUAAAAAAGCAACCCAAUUAUAGCAUAGCAGUUUCCCGUUUUAUCUUUUGUUACAACAUUGUAACUUUCGAGUUAUUUCUUAUCAAGGCAUUUUACUUUAAAAAAUGAACCCAUUUUUUGCUAAAACAUUAUAAUUUUCAAAAUUUAUCAUAUCAAGGCUUUUUGCUUUUAAAAAUCCAUCAUUUCUUUCAUUAUCAUGGCAUUUUAUUUUGAAAAAUCUACCAAUUAUAUCAUUUCAUCGUUCUUAUUAUAAGUACCUUUCUGUUUUUUUUAUUAUCAACACAUUUCCCUUUGAAAUAUCAACCCGAUUAUAGCAUUGGACUUUUUAGUUUUCUUUUUAUUACAACAUAUUUUUUUCUCAUCAAGUCAUUUUUCAUUGAAAAAUCUACCAGUUAUAGUAUUGUACUUUCAGUUAUUUUAUUAUCAACACGUUUUCCUUUGAAAAAUAAACUAAAUUAUAACAUUGCUCUUUUUUACUUUUCUUUCUGUUACAACAUUGUAACUUUAAAGUUUCUUUAUUUAAUGGCAUUUUACCUUCAAAAAUGUAUCAAAAUUUCUUUUCAAGGCUUUUUUACUUUAGAAAAAUUUACUCAGUUAAGCAUUGUACUUUUCAGUUUGCUUUCUAAUACAACAUUAUAACUUUCUAAAAUUUUCUUUUUAUGAGAUUUUACUUUGAAAAAUCUACCAUAUAUAGCAUUCUACUUUCAGAUUUCUUAUUAUAAGCACAUUUUAAAAUAAAAAUCAAUCCACUUACAGUUUUCCAGUUUAUGGAUUUCUUUUUAUAUAGCAUCAUAGCAUUUAAUUUUUUUUUUUUCUAUUCAAGGCAUUUUACUUUCAGUUUUAUAUCAGCUAAUUACCUUUUUGAAAAAUCAACCCAUUAAUAGCAUUGCACUUUUAGGUUUUCAUUAUGUACUUUCAGUAUUUUAUCAUAAGCACAUUUCUCUAAGAAAAAUCAGUUAUUAUAACUUUUCAAUUUUCAAGCUUUUUCUUAUCAAGGCAUUUUACUUUGAAAAAUCAUCCCAUUUAUAGUAUUGAAAUUUUUAGUUUUCUUACUAUUACAACAUUAUCACUUUCAAGGCCUUUUUUUUUUAAUCUUUUAAUUAUGGCUUCGUACUUACAUUUUUCUUAUUAUAACAUUUCCUUUUAUAAAAGCAACCCAAAUAUAACUUUGUAAACUUUGGUUUUAUUUGUGUUACAACGUUAUAACUUUCAAGUUUUCUUAUCAAGAAAAUUUAUUUUGAAAAAGGUGUCAGAUUCUUUUUAUUCAAAUACAACAUUUUCCUUUGAAAAUCAACCUAUUUAUAGCACUUUUAAAGUUUUUUUUUUUUGUUUACAACAUUCUUCCUUUCAAAGUUCAUCUUAUCAAGGCAUUUAACUUUUAAAAUCAUAUCAUAUUUUUCAUUAUCUGGGCAUUUUUGUUUUGAAAAAUCUAUCAAUCAUAGUAAUUAGCUUUUUUUUUGUUACAUCAUAACUUUCAAGCUUUCUCUUAUCAAGAAAUCUUACUUUAAAAAAAAUCAACCCAUUAUAACUUUCAAAUUGUAUGUUAUCAAGACAAUUUAGUUUUAAAAGUAUUUCAUAUUUUUCAAUAUCAAAGAAUUUUCAUUUGAAAAAUCUACCAAUUAUAGCAGCGUACUUUCAUUUGCCUUUAAAAAAAAACUAUUUAUAGCAUUACAAUUUUUAGUUUUCUUUCUGUUAUCUUAUUAUAAACAAAUUUCCCUUAGAAACUCGACACAAUUACAGCAUAAUUUUUUUCAGUUUUUUUUUUUUUUUUUUUUGUGUGUGUGUGUGUGUGUAUGUGUGUGUGUGUUUUACAUCGUUAUCACUUUAAAAUUUAGCUUUAUCAAGUAAUUUUAAUUUGAAGUAUUUAUCAAAUCUUAUAUUUUCAGGGCAUUUUACUUUGAAAAAUCUAUUAACUUUUUUUUUCUUAUCAAGGCAUUUUUUAUGAAAAUCCGUCAAUUUUUUUCGUAUCUUUGGAUUUUAUUUUGAAAAAUCUAUCAGAUGUUUUUUAAUCAAAGAAUUUCAUUUUUAAAAAUCUACCAAUUAUAAUUGUAAUUUCAAUUAUCUUUUUAUAUUGCAUGUUUCCCCUUUAAAAGUCAACCCAAUUAUAGCAUUGAUCAUUUCAAAAAAAAAUCUAUUAUGCAUUGUACUUUCAAAAUCUUGUUAUCAAGGCAGUUAAAUCGAUCAAAAUCUUUCAAAUUUUCUUUAAAAAAUCUACCUGUUAUAGCAUUUUACUUUCAAUUUUCUUUUUAUAAAGCACAUUUCCUUUUGAAAACCCAACCCAAUUGCAGCAUUGCAAUUUUCAUUUUGAUCUUGAGUUAUACAGCAUUUUACUUUGUAAAAUCUACAAAUUAUUUGUUAUCAAGGCAUCUUACUUUGUAAAGUCUACAAAUUAUAGCAUUUAUUUUCAGUUUAAUUAUAAGCAGAUUUCCCUUCAAAAAAGCAACCCAAUUAUAGCAUUGCACUUUUCAGUUUUAUUUAAAACAUUUAUCUUUAGACAUUUUUUUUGUUGAAAAAUCAACCAAACUUAGCAAUGUACUAUUUAUACCAUUAUAACUUCCAACUUUUAUCUUAGCAAAGCCCUUUACUUUAAAAAAUAUAUCAUUUUUUUCUUUAUUAAGGCAUUUUGUUUGGAAAUAUCAACCAAGUAUAGCAUUGUACUUUCAUUUAUUUAUAAGCACAUUUACCUUUAAAAAAUCAACAAAUUAUAGCAUUGCAGUUUUCAGUUUUGUUUGGGUCUCAACAUUGUAACUUUCAAGUAUUCUUCUUAUCAAGGCAUUUCCCUUUGAAAAUCAACCAAAUUAUAGCAUUGUGCUUUUUCUGUUUUCUCUAACUUACAACUUUUUAAUUUUCAAUUUUUUCCCAUCUAGGUGUAUUACUUUAAAAACUUUACUAAUUAUAAGCAUUGUACUUUAUGUUUACUUGUCAUAAACACAUUUUCCAAAACAUUUUCCUUUGAAAAAUCAACAUUCAAAGUUUUUCUCAUCAAGGCAUUUUUCGUUGAAAAAUCUACUAUUUAUAGUAAUGUACUUUCAGUUUUCUUAUUGUCAACACAUUUCCCUUUAAAAGAUCAAAUCAUUUAUAGCAUUGCACUUUUUAAAUUUCUUUUUGUUACAACAUUAGUUUCUUCUUCAUAUAAAGGCACUUCACCUUCAAAAUUCAUUUUUUUUAAAGUAUUAAGGCUUUCUGGUUUUUUUUGUCCGCAUCGUAAAGUUCAAUUUUUUUUUUUUUUUUUUUUAAAAUGGCUUUUUCCCUUUGAACAAUCAACCGAAAUAAGCAUUGUAUUUUUCAGUUUUCUUUCUGUUGCAACAUUAUAACUUUGUAAUUUUUUCUUAUUAUGAGAUGUUACUUUGAAAAAUCAACCCAUUUAUAGCAUUGCACUUUUUGUUUUUCAUUAUGUUAUAGCAUUUUAACUCUCAUGUUUUCUUAAUAAAUCAUUUUAGCUUAAAAUAAUCUGUCACUUAUGGUAUUGUACUUUCAGUUGUUUAAAAAUCAACCCACUUAUAACUUUUCAAUUUUCAGUUUUAUUUGUGUUGCAACAUUGCAACUUUAGUUUAAAAAAUCUAUCAGUUAUUGUACUUUCAGUUUUUUGUUACAAGCACAUUUCCCUAAGAAAAGUUUUCAAUUUUUAGUUUUUUCUUAUCAAGGAAAUUUACUUUGAAAAGAGUAUCAAUUUUUUAUUAUCAAGGCAUUUUGUUUUAAAAAAUUAACCCCUUAAUAGCGUAACACUUUUUAGUUUUCUUUCUGGUACAACAUUAUAAUUUUCAAAUUUUGCUUUGUCAAAUCAUUUUAUUUUGAAAUAUUUAUCAAAUCUUUUUUUUCAAGGCAUUUUAUUUUUGAAAAUCAUCAUUUUCUUUUUCGUUUUUAUGGAUUUUAUUUUGAAAAAUCUAUCUGAUUUUUUUUUUAUCAAAGCAUUUCAAUUCAAAAAUCUACCAAUAAUUAUAUCAUUGUAAUUUCAAUUGUUUUAUUAUAUCCAUGUUUCCCCUUUAAAAAUCUACCCAAUUACAGCAUUGAUCUGUUCACAAAAAAAAAAUCUGUUAUGGCAUUGUACUUACAAAAUUUUGUUAUCAAGUCAAUUAAAUCAAUCAAAAUCUUUCAAAUUUUCUUUAAAGAUUCUACCUGUUAUAGCAUUUUACUUUCAAUUUUCUUUUUAUGAAGCACAUUUCCUUUUGAAAAGCCAACCCAAUUACAGCAUUGCAAUUUUCAUUUUUAUUUGAGUUACAGCAUUUUACUUUGUAAAAUCUAAAUUUAUUUGUUGUCAAGGCAUCUUACCUUUUAAAGUCUACAAAUUAUAGAUUUAUUUCCAGUUUAAUUAUAAGCAGAUUUCCCUUCAAAAAAGCAACCCGAUUAUAGCAUUAGAGCAUUAUACUUUCUGUUUUCUUUUUAUAGACACAUUUCCAUUUGAAAAUCCAUUCCACUUUUAGUUUUCUUUCUAUUACAACAUUGUAACCUUGAAAAAUUUCUUAUCAAGGUACUUCACUUUAGUUUGUGAAAUCUAACAGAUAUAGCCUUCUACUUUCAGUUUUCUUAUCAUAAGCACAUUUUCAACCCAAUUAUAAGCAUUGCACUUGGUUGGAGACAGAUGUUAUGCUUUCUUGUCUCUACACUGAAUUUACUUUCUUGGAAUUUGUUUCUUAUUUUGUAAUGAAGAAUUUCUACCACUCUGUUAAUAACAAUCUUAUGGUGACAAUCGAGCUUUUUGUUGUUGAAGCAAAACCAAAAGAUACCAGUGUAAUGAACUUUUCCCAUUUUUUCAUUUUUUUUUGUUAUGAAUCUUAAUAUUAUCUUGUUUUUUCUUAUAAUUGCUAUAAUAAAAGAAAAUAUACGUUUGUUUACUGAAAUUCAGUUGUUGUCAAACAAUGCUUGGUGGUAAAUUGCAGUUUAUAUGGUUUGUCCAUUCUUAUUCACCCCUUUUAUUUUCAUAUUCAUGUGCAUCCUUUCUAUUUUGUAGCCCUCUGUAUUAUUUUUGCAGUUUUUGGUAUUAUUUGAUGUUUUGUGUCUUUAUUUUUGCACUUAGUGAUAUUUUGAUGUGGCUGUUUUGCUCAUAAAUGUUUUCUGUAAUAUCUCUUUUCUAUGAUAAUAUGAGCUUUUGGAGCUAAUGUCAGGACCCCAUUUUUAAAUCAACUCGAUUAUUGUCCUGAUUUCUCUUGUAGACUAAUUCAUUAAGAAACUAACAUGGUCUUAAUAUAAUUUUUUAAGUGGAAUACCCGAGACAUACAUUACAUGUAUAUUGCAUUUGAGCUUGUUUGUAAUUUUUUUAUUCACCCUCCCUAUCAUUUUGACAUCUAAUCUAGAUUAAUAAUAACCUGAAUAAUUUACAUAUUUGGUCCCUAUGCUAUAACAUUUGUACAGUGAUUAUUAAAAAAGUCGUUGAGAUAUGUCUUGUGCUCUAACAACUCAUUAGAAUGUCCCAUAUUAUAACAGUAAUAAUUUACGAUAACCUUUUGAACGAGUAAUCUUUUGUUUAUGUUAAUUUUGUUGGUUGAAUUUUUUUCUACUUUGUUUUAGGAUUAGAAACAUAGAGACAUGUGUCACCUAUUUUAAUUUUCUUGGUUAAAUUUUUGUGUGAUUUCACAUUUCUUUGCUGUGUCUCUGGAGAGCCCAAACAUGGAAAUUCCUUUCACAGUAUUUCUUUUUUUACUGCUAAGCUUGUGAAUGCAGAGUAUUAUCUGAUCAUGUAUUGUUGUUGCAGCAUAAUGAACUUUUUCCUUUCUUAACCUUCUUGUUAUGAAUCUUAAUAUCAUCUCACCUUUAAUUUUGUACAGUUGCAUGGAAUUUGAUAUGGAAAAUGAACCUGGAUUUGAAAGAAACAUGGAUUUAUAGCAUUGCAUUUUAAGUUUGUGAUUAUUGCAAUUCGUUAGAUUUCUUCUUUCACUUUGUUGAUGUGCUUUAACUACUAGCUUUCAGUUAAAUAAUUAUGAGUAUCAUAAUCAUAAUCAUUUAACUCUCUGUUCUCUUUUAUGGUUUUUAUUCAAUGUUUUUAUACAGCGGCUUCUUAAAUCUUAGUAUUUUCAUACAUAAUGAGCAAUCUUAAUCUUUUGACAUUUCUAUAUUUGAAUACCAUAUUACUAAACUUUUGAUAUGAAUUUUAAGGUCAUCUCAUCUUUUCUUCAGAAAUAUUGUUACAGUUAUGUUUACUUGGCGCCAAUGUGUACUCUAUGUCCAGGUUAUUUGCAAUCCUUUUUUCGAUGGAGUUUUAUGGUGAUUUAGCUUAUUUCCAAUCUUAAGAUCAUCUCUGCUUUUUCCAAUGGUUGCUAUGAUGAGUAGUUCUCAUCAACUCCUUAUUCAGACACUGGAUUCAUAGCAGUGUAGAUUUGGAUAUUAACCUUUUGAUUUUGAAUCCAUAGAUUCAGUUCUUCAACCCAUGUUUCUUUGGUGGAUUUUUUCCAAGGGUGAAUGACAUAGGUAGGUAGGUUCUUUAUAUAAUGCUUUCCUAUUUGAAAAUUAGGGUCUUAAUUUGGGUUUUUUGUUUUUCAUUAUAUAUGGUCUUCAUUUUGUACAGAGAUGAUCUUAGAAUCUUUUGGUUUUAUUUACUUGUAAUUUUUCUGAUAGUCAUGCUCUUUAUUCUUGUUAAGCUCAUUCUUCGAGAUGCUUGGUCAAUCAUUUAGAACAAAGAUGAUACUUAAGGUUUUCCCUGUUUACAUCUUUUAGCAGAAAAAAAAAGUUUAUUUUUUUUUCGCGUUUAAAAUAAUGAAAAAGCUGCAACUAUGUUUAAGAUUGGAGGAGCGAGUGACACUAAAAAGAAAUCUUUUUCAUGCAUCUCAUCUCUUUCUACAUUUGAUAUGGUGGCACAAAAUGUAAUUAUAUUUACACAGAUUCACCUGUCUUCAUAUUCCUUAGUAUCUACCAUUAUGUACUUAUAAUCCAUAUGUUAUUUAACCUUUUAAUUAUGAAUCCUAAGAUUAUCUUAACUUUUUCCCCAUUUUUUUUAGUUUGGAACAAAAGAGAAGCAGCAGUAACGUUUGCUUGAUUGUUGUUACAACAAUUGUAAUUUGUUCUUUUUGCUGAUCAUUUUUCUUUUUUGAUGACCUUUAUAUAAUAUUUAAAUAUUUAAAUAUCAUAAAUAAUAUAUAAGAGUUUUAGUUUUGAAGAUGUGUGCAGGGGAGGGGAAACAUUGAGCCUUAUAAUCAGUUGUCAAAGCGACCUGCUGAUCUUCUUCAAUCAUAAAUUAGGUCAUUAUACUUUUUUCUCCUCAUCAAGGCAUUUUUCUUUAUCAAGACAAUUUACUUUGAAAAAAUCCACCAAUUAUAAGAUUGUUUUUUCAGUUUUCUUAUUAUAAGUAGUGCACUUUUUUUUUGAAAAAGCAACCCAAAUAAUAGCCUUGCAUUUUUCAGUUUUAUUUUUGUUACAGCAUUGUAACUUCCUUUUUUUUUGAAAAAUGUUAAAUCUACCAAUUAUAGCAUUUGCACUUUCUGUUUUCUUCUUAAAAAGCACAUUUUCCUUUUUUUUAAAAAAUCAACCCAAUUAUAGCAUUGCACUUUUCAUCUUUACUUUUGUACAACGUCAUGACUUUGAAAUUGUUUCUUAUCAAGACAUUUUAGUUCAAGGCAUCUAUGACUACUGAUAGUGUAAUGAACUUCCACCAUUCUGUACUUGUAAAAUAUAGAUUAUGAAUCUUGAUUUCUUCUGAUCAUUUUUCUGUUGUUGUAUGUUUGUUUACUCAUAUUCAAUUCUUGUUGACUCUUGCAUUGUGGUAUCCUAUCUAUUCCCUUAUUCUUUUUAUGACAUCAUCAUGGUUUUUCAUCUCUCUGUUGGGGUCUUAUUAUUUCUUCUUUGAUUGUAAUUUACCAGAGGAAAGGAUUUUAGUUUUUUCCUAUUUUUAAAAUUGGGUUCUUUGCUGUUCUUUGAUUAUCAGUUUCUUGUUUUCCAUAUAUUAUUUCAGAACUGAUAUAUUUAUUUUAUUUUUUUUUUUAAAAUCUUUUGGUUUUAUUCAUUUGUGAUGUGGUAGCCGAUUGAUCUUGUUCUUGAUUCUUCUUAAGAUCAUUGCUCGAGUUCUUUCGUGUACUAAUUUUUUAAGACAUAUUCGUCUUUUGUUUUUUUCGUUUUGCUCCUCUCACGUUAAAAUUGAUAAAUACUGUUACAAUGUAGAAUUUAUUUGGAAAUUGUGGGUAAAAUGGUCAUUUUAGUCUCAUUCAGACGGUUAUUCAGUUAAAAAAACAUCCCCAAAUAAUUAUAUCCAUAAAUUCAUCCCCUUUAGAAAUUCCAUGAGUUGUGAAGUUUCUUUGUUUCUAUACAGUCUUGAACAAUACAAUCUUUCUUUUGAUGGAAUUCACAAACAUGUUGAACCUUUCUAUUAUGAAUCUUAAGAUUGUCCAUGCUUUUUUCCUAUAGUUGAUAUGAUGACUAAAUGACUAAAUGCAUGUAUAUUUAUUCAGAGACUCGAUUCAUAGCAGUGUAUAGAUUAUUAUCCUUUUCCAUUAUGAAUCUUAAGAUCAUCUCAUUACAGUUUCUAUGGUGCAACAAAUGCAUGUAUGCAUCCAAAGAUUCAGUUCUUGUCAAAUUGUGUAUGAGAUGCUUGGGGAAAAUACACAAACAUUAUGUUUACUGAAAGUAAUGCUUGGUGAUAAAUUGCAGCUUAUCUGUCCCAUAUUAAUAAUAUGCGUCUUUAACCCAUGUCUGUGUUUUUCAUCUGGAAAUUGUCUUCUUGAUUCUUCUUUAAUGGUUUUUUUCAAAGGGUAUUUGAUUUAGGAAUGGCAGAGGUUUUUGAGUUUCUUGAUUUUUUCAUCUGGAAAUUGUCUUCUUGAUUCUUCUUUAAUGGUUUUUUUCAAAGGGUAUUUGAUUUAGGAAUGGCAGAGGUUUUUGAGUUUCUUGAUUUUCAUCACAUUCUUCAUUGUAUACAAAGAUAUUCUUGGAAUCUGUAGACUAAUUCAUUAAGAAUAUGCUAUGGUUUUAAUUUAUUUUAUUAUGUUGCAUGAAUGGUUUGAUGUAUUUUCUUUUGGGGUUACAAAUAAACAAUAUUGGUGCCACUUAUAUAAUAAGCUUAAAGGUUUCUUUUUUACAUAAUGAGCUUAAUCUGGAUAACUAUAUAUGACUGUUUCUUUUUUAGCUUAAUCUGUAUAGAACGACUUGAACGGGUAAAGCCGAAAAACCUGACUUAAUGUAUUAAGACACUUUACGUAUUUUUUUGGGAAAUACUGUUAACAUGUUGAAUAUGUAUUAGUUUUUUGGAAAUUGAGGGUAAAAUGGUCAUUUAGUCUCAUUAAGACGGUUUAUUCAUUCUAAAAAAGAAACACGCUUUAUGUAUACAGUUGCUUGGUGGUAAAUUGCAGUUUGUCUGGUUUGUCCAUUCUUAUUUUUAACCCCUUUUAUACAUAUUCAUGUGCAUCCUUUCUAUUUUAUCUGCAUUUUUUUUAUUCUAUAUAAUAUUUACUUGUGUGUUUUAGUCAAUGGCCAACUGGAUGAUCUAAUUAAUUAUCAUGGUUUUUGAUAUAUGUAAUGUGGUCAGGAACUUCUGUUUUUCCACCGAAUUUGUUUUCUUUUUGUUAGUCUAUUAUUGUAUUCAAGCAGUUCAACUCUGUUGAUAACAAUCUUUUGGUGACAAUGGAGCUUUUUUAGGUUGUUUAAUUGUUGUUGAACCAAAACCAAAAGAUAAACUUUGUCCUUUAUUAACUUUUUUUUUGUUAUGAAUCUUAAUAACAUCUAAUUUAUUAAUACAGUUGCUAUAGUGGAGGAAAGCAGACAGAUGUUUACUGAAAUUCAGUUGUUGUCAUCUGAUGCUUGGUGGUAAAUUGCAGUUUAUCUGGUUUGUCCAUUCUUAUUCACCCCUUUUAUUUUCAUAUUCAUGUGUAUCCUUUCUACUUUAAAGCUUUUACAUCUAUAUGUAAAAUUAAUCUUUUUUAAAUGGCUUUUACUUUCAUAUGAUGUUUGCUCAAUAGGGAUGUUCAGUUAUCUUCAUAUUUCUCUAUUUCUUGUGUAGAUUAAUUCAUUAAGAAAUUAAUUGAUAUGGUGCAACUUUUAGGUUUUAAUCUGUUAUGUUUUGUUGCAUUAAGAAAUUGAUAUUUUUGUUUGUGGGUUACAGAUUAACGAUAAUCAAUGUCACUCAUAUCAGUUUUAGGGGUUGUUUCUUUUUGACUUCAUAAGCUUAAUGGGUUAAGCACUUAAUUACUGGACACCUAUAUAUAUAUAUAUAUAUAUAUAUAUAUAUAUAACUUUGUUUUUACUCAAUCUGGAUAACUAUAUAUGAUUGUAUCCUUUUAACCUAAUUUGAACAUAAGACUUAACGGGUUAAGUUGAAAAGCCUGACUUAAUGUAUUAAGACACUAGCACUUUAACUAUUUGUCUUUCUUUUCUUAUUUCAGCCCAUCUCACGUUAAAAUGUUGUUAAAAUGAUGAACAGAAAUGAAUUGUUUUGAAAGUAAGGAUAAAAAGGUGUUAUCUAGUCUCAAUUUAAAGGAUUAUUCAGUCCAAAAAAACAGCUCAUCUGUUUCCAUAGUUGAUAUGGUGGCACAAAAUGUACUUAUUAUAUUCAUACAGAAAUUCAUAUUCCUUGGCAUCUACCAUUUUGUACUUAUAAUCCAUAUAUUAUUCAACCCUUUGAUUAUGAAUCCAAAGAUUAUCUCAACUUUUCCCCAUUUUUUUUAGCUUGGAAUAUAAGAGUAGCGAGGAUGUUUUCUUGAUCAUGGUUGCAUCAACUGUAAAUUGUUCUUUUUGUUUUUUUUUUGAUGAGCUUUAUAAGGAUGUUAAAGCUUCUAGCUUAGUUAGUGGGGGAAAAUGUAUACCUUGGGUUUCUAAAUUUGAAAAAGAGUAUUAUCAAAUGAAGUUGACGCCUGCAAUAUAAGCAUUACUACUGAAUAAUAUUUAAAUAAAUCAUAAAUAAUAUACAAGAGCUUUGAUUAUGAAGAAUAUGUGUGCAGAAGAGGGGAAACUUUGAGCUUCAUAAUCAAAGUUCUUCUUUCCGUCCACGUACUUGAAGGUUUGUUGCAUCAAAUGUUGAUCUCUUUCAAAUCGCAAAUUGGGUGAUGAUUAUCAUUAUUUCAAGUUUUUGAUUGUUAAAAUUGCUAUUAAGUGUUUCCUGCGUAAUCUUUGUUUGGUCUACCACCUGUUCGAUGAAAUGCUUCAAAAAAUAUACUUUUCGGUUUAUCUACUGAAAAGGAACAACCAACACCAUGCUUGGAUUUCAUAUUCCAAGAUGAAUCACUUCUGUUUAGGGGGUGUUUGGAUUGGGUUUUGAAGUAGAUUAUGUGAAGAAGAUUUGGAAUAAUCAUAUAAUUAGAUGAUCAUUUUUAACAAAAACUGCAGAAAUUAGUGCUUACAAGUGAUUAUGUCAUGUUUAUUACCAUGAUAUAAAUACUUGGUCUUGUUUAUUUCUAAUGGCAUCCUACAAUUAUAUAUUAGAUCAUUGUUGCUAUUAAUUACAUGUCACCAAUGGAAGAAAAUCAGGUAACAUACGUUUGAACUUGUUGUAUAAUUAGAAGGGUUAAAUGCAAGAAACAACAACAUAUUUUUCUUAAAUAUGCUUAUUAAUUGUUAUAGCAUCAUACUUUCAUUUCUUUCUAUUAUAUUUAAGAUAUUAAAGAUGAUUCUUUAUUACUUCGAGUGAUUUUUAAACUAUACAACUGUUUUUUAUAGCUAAAUUUCUCAACAUGGAUAUUUGUAGUUAAAUCAAGUUGUGAAUGCAAGAAAUAGCAACAUACUUUCAUUGGCUUGUUUAUUAUAUCAUCAUACCUUUAUGUCUUUCUAUUACUAAGCUUUAAUAUGAUCUUGCUUAAGCCAUUCAUUCCAGUUCUUUUUACUUGAUCCUUUUAUUCUGGUUUCCUUAAGUUAACUUUGUUUUCCCUUCUUAUUCAGCCUCUCUAUCUUCUAGUUACUAGUUUUCAGCUGGAUGGUUAAAUCAUGACCUUGUUUGAGUAGUUAGGUUUAGAAGAAAAAAAAAUCUUCCUUUUUAUGUUUUUGUAGAUGACCUAUGUAGUAAUAUAUUCAUGUUUUUUUUAUAACCACCCUAUUUUCCAAUUGUUGUUUUUUUCACACAUGAGCAAUGUAGAUGACCUAUGUAGUAAUAUAUUCAUGUCUUUGUUUUUAAUUUUUUUUAUCAAGAUUGUAAAAGUCGCUAGGCGGUACCCCAGAGGUGGACUGGGAUCAAGUGACUAUUCUUAAUCCCUAAGGUUGAUAAUCCUACCGAGAUUAAAAGACUAUAUGCCUAUCAGCUUGAUUGGUUUGCAAUAUAAAAUAAAUGCUAAAUUGUUAGCUAAUCGGUUUGCUAAGGUGGUAGGAGAGAUUGUUCAUCCUGUGCAGUCGGCUUCUGUUGAAGGAAGGCAAAUUUUGGAUGGUGCUUUGAUGGUUAACGAGGUAGUUACGUGGGCGAUAGCUAAACAAAAAAAUGAUGAUUUUUAAAGUUGAUUUUGAAGAAUCAUACGAUUAGGUAUCGUGGGAUUAUGUCGAUUUUAUUCUUGAUGCUAUGGGAUUCGAGGUUAGAUGGCGGGAUUGGAUACGAGGGUGUUUGAGAUCUGCUAGAUCGUCAAUCCUUCUCAAUGGUAACCCUACCGGUGAAUUUCAGAUGUAUAGAGGUAUCGGACAAGGUGACCCUUUAUCUCCUUUUUUAUUUAUUAUUGUUAUGGAAGGAUUGCAUGUGUGGUUGGAGGAUGCUAUUCAGAAUGGCAUGUUCAAAGGCUUGAAUAUUGGUGAUCAAAAUUUACAGCUAUCGCAUUUAUUUUAUUCACUGUGAUGAUGAUGCUAUUUUUAUGGGUGACUGGGAUGUUGAAAAUGUGCGUGGUCUUGUUCGUAUUCUUCGGGUUUUUUUCAUUGCUUCCGAUCUAUAGAUCAAUCUUCAUAAGUCAAAGAUCUAUGGGAUUGGAGUGUCUACAAACGUGUGUCCACAAGUGGCUAUUUGUACAGGUUGUGCUCCAGAUUAAUUUCCUUUUGUGUAUCUUGGUUAACUGUUGGGGAUAAAAUGCAUAGGGUGGCGGCUUGGGAUACUCGUUAAGUCCGUUUUAGGGAGUCUGAGAAUUUAUUAUUUAUCUCUUUUUAAGAUGUCAGUUACUGUGUGUCGGAAGUUGGAGAGAAUUCGGGUUGAUUUUUUUGGGGCAUAGAAGAUCAAGAUCGAAUUCUUCAGUGGGUGAAAUGGGAGGUUAUUUUAAACAAGAAAGAGUAUUGCAGGUUGGCGAUUGGUAGUUUGAAAGCUUUCAAUGAGUCUUUAAUUUACAAGUGGAGAUGUCGAUUCCUAAAUGGUGCUAAUCUCCUUUGGGUUAGUUUGAUCAAAAGUUGUCAUGGGAGUGAUGGUGGUUUUUCAUUGUCUUUAUCUUAUAGGUCGGAGUCGAGGGGUCUGGAUGAGGGUGGUUAAUUUAGUUUGGAAUCUUCAUAAUAAUGGUAAGAUUCCGUUUGAAUCUAUGAGAAAACAAAUAGGUAAUGGUGUGAAUAUUAGAUUUUCGUUGGAUGUGUGGGACUGUGGGUGGGGAUGUUAUUUUAAAGGCUAGAUUUCCAAGGUUGUUUGCUGUGACAGUCAAUGGUGAGGCGGUUAUCAGUGAUUUUUGGUUGGGUAAUACUUGGGAGAUUCCAUGGAGGAGAUCAAUAAGUGGGGGAGUGUUUGAAUCCCAUCUUGAGCAAUUACAUGAGAUGUUGGAUUCAAUUCAUAUUACAAAUAGAAUAGACUCGUGGAGAUGGUCUCUUGGGGUGGAAUACAUGUUCCCCGUCAAGUCUGCUAGAUCUCGUUUAGACCUCAUGUCGCUUCCCAUGGGUAUAGUCCUACCAGGUGGAAUAUUUCUCUUCCUAUAAAAAUUAAUAUUUUUAUAUGGAGGCUUUUACUUAAUCGUUUAUCGACGAGGAGUAACGUUCAUCAUCGGGGAAUUGAUUUGUCUUCUAUUUUAUGUCCAUGUUGUGGGGAGGUGAUAGAAGAUGGUAUUUACUUAUUUCUGAAGUGUUUGAUGGCUCGUGAAUUAUGGCUUAAGUUUGCUAGAUGGAUAGAUUUGAUGGUGCCAUCCUUUAACUCUAUUGAAGAUGUUUUCGAGUGGAUUGAUUGUCAAGCUAUUGCAAAUGCUCGGAGAUUGAUCAUUGAGACGACUUGUGCUACUCUAAUUUGGGUUCCUUGGACUUAUUGGAAUGCGAUAGUUUUUUGGAUCGUGAAGUACAAAAAAGAGUUGAUGUUUGAUUCUAUUGCCUCGUUUUCUUUUAGAUGGUUUUGUAGUAGGAACUGUAAAGUUAAGAAAACUAUAACCGGGUGGCUUCAAAAUCUGCUCAUGAACUAAUUGUUCUGUAAAGUUAAGAAAACUAUAAUUGGGUGGCUUUAAAAUCUGCUCAUGAACUAAUUGUUCUCU